GAUGAACGCUAGCGGCAGGCCUAACACAUGCAAGUCGAGGGGUAAUAGGGAGCUUGCUCCGCUGACGACCGGCGCACGGGUGCGCACCGCGUAUGGAACCUACCUUCUACAGGGGAAUAGCCCAGGGAAACUUGGAUUAAUGCCCCGUGGCACUACAUUAUGGCAUCAUGUUGUAGUUAAAGCCUUCGGGCGGUAGAAGAUGGCCAUGCGUCCCAUUAGCUUGAUGGUAAGGUAACGGCUUACCAUGGCUACGAUGGGUAGGGGCCCUGAGAGGGGGAUCCCCCACACUGGUACUGAGACACGGACCAG
rnacentral:rRNA from 1 species